UACGUAGGGGGCAAGCGUUGUCCGGAAUUAUUGGGCGUAAAGAGCGCGUAGGCGGUCCGAUAAGUCGGCUGUGAAAGUCAGGGGCUCAACCCUUGGAAGCCGGCCGAUACUGUCGGACUAGAGUCCGGAAGAGGCGAGUGAAUUCCUGUGUGCGGUGAAUGCGCAGAUAUCAGGAGAACACCAAUGGCGAGCAGCUCGCUGAACGUACUGACGCUGAGGCGCGAAAGCGUGGGGAGCGAACAG
rnacentral:rRNA from 1 species